CAAUGCUCCUAAAAUAAAGGGAGACAUCAAAACACCAGACAUUGACAUCAAAACUCCUGAUCUUGAAAUUGAAGGGCCAAAGGGUGGAUUUGAAAUGCCUAAAAUCAAAAUGCCAUCACUGAACAUCAAAGGUCCUAAAGUAGAGAGCCCAGAUGUUGACUUGAGUCUAAAAGGACCUAAAGUUGAAGGUGAUGUGGAUGUUAAAGUGCCAAAAAUCAAAGGAGACAUAAAGACACCAGAAGUUGAGAUUGAAGGUCCAGACAUUGACAUUGAGGGC